GGAUGCUACAGGUCGACAGAAUGUCUUUAGGGAGAAAUUGUCAGUAUUAUUAGAAGGUGUUUACGUGGUGCUUUAUUUGCAGAAUGCUUUUCAGUCACUUUUAAUUUGGAAAAUAUUAGGACAAUUCUACUAAUGUCUGAACACCAAUUUUCCUCAGAGAAGGCAAUUUGUGGGGAGCACUGAAAAAAAAGGGAACAGAUUCAUAAUUUUUGCCAUAAAUGCAAGUGGCUGCCAAGACUGUCAAUCUAAACAAAUAAGGCCCAUUCCUUUUUAUGGAGAUCUCAGGAUGUUAGAAGAGGAAGGGAUCUUAGAAUCAUAAUAUGUCAGAACCAGGUAGGAUAAUGACAUAGGAUAGAAUGGUUUGAUGUAAUGGAUCUUGGAAAAUAGAAUGUUAAAAUAUAAUGUAACAUACAGCUUACUAUUUGCCUCUCCCACUCUGCCUUUGAGCUGUGGAGAAUGGAGUUGGAGGUGGUUAAGGGAAAUAAAAGGAGAGAUGUAGCUGUGGUAGAUAGCUGUGAUGAAAUAGGAGAAAGGUGCUGCAGCGAUUCUUUGGUUCUUUGCUAAUGCCAGCUGCUGAGAUUAUUCAUCCUGUUCAACAACAAGCUAGUUGAGACUAGAUAAGAUAAAAGGUCCAGAAAAUAAUCAGCUAAGAGAUGGGGCACUAUCUCCUAAAUCUGAAACAAGAUCUUGGGUCCAUCUCCUGUGCUGAUAGUUUCAGAACUCUAAUAGUUCCAGGCUUGUUUUAUCUGUCUCAGAUACAUGAGGAAAGUUUCUCCAAGGAGAGCUUCACAAGCACUGAGCUAGCUCUGGCAAUGUAUGCAUCAACCUCAUCAUCCAGGGAUAUGGACAUCCCUCAAAAGUAUACUGCCAAGAAAUGGACAAUAGAGGUAUCUUUGAUCUCCUGGGGGAUAACCUUCCCUUGCCAUAUAAUUAAGAAGAUUUCAGUCAACUUUUGAUUGAGAAAUGGAUCCCCUGCCUUGUCACUCUCUGCUGGAAUUGAAUUGACGCCAAGGACUUUGUCACACAAGAGUAGCCUGGUGGCAUUUAAAACCUUAAUGGCUUCAGCAUUGAUUGGUGAUGGUCUGUUGAGAAUGCUAUGGUGUUCAUCCCAUCUCUCCAGGAUCAUGUCCUUCUCAAUGACCAAUGUGACUUUAUUAGCAUGGAGUAGAUGAGAUGCACCAUAGGUCUUUGACCCAUAAAUAAUCAUCAGGACAUCAUAAAAGUUAUUUGAGUUGUUAUCAGUAUUAAACUGCAUUCCACCUGCAAUCCCACUGAACCAAAAAUCCUGCAUCUCUCUAAUUUUCAUUUGCACUUUACUUUUGGAGUUAAGCACUGCCUUCUUAGAGAUAGACAAAUCCUUAGGAGUUCUCAGUUUUUGUACUUUCUGAAUUUCUUCUUCAUUUUCAUCAAACCAAUCCUAAUGUUUAUGAGUAUUCUGGCUCAGACAAGUAAAUGCAGUGCAAUACACCAAACCUUUGAAAGCUACUUAUUCUUUUUCUAUUUCACUAUUGCCAACCAAGUGUACACUCAGCUUUCCCUCCAAGUCAGCAACAAACUGUUCAGGCAAGGAGAAGCACUCCAAUCUGUUGAUGUUAGGUCUUUUGGUAGUUGCCUUACACUGGGGCUGCCACUUUUGUUAAAUGUUAGCUCAAAAAGGAUAGGUCUGUGAUGAGUCUAGCAUAAUGAGCCACAAAUUGCCUUCUUCAUUCUGAUACCCUGUCUAUUUCUUCUCCUUACAGUGAUAGUUUAUUAAAUACCAAUGUUUGCUUCCAUGGGUGUAAGCAUGGAGUUUUAUUAUAUUUAGGUAAGUGGAAGACAACAUUGGUGAUUAGAAAAUCAAGAGAUGAAAAGUCUUUUUGGCAAAAAAAGCAAAAAAAAAAUGGCCAAAAAAAGUUGAAAAAGGAAUAAAUGACAAUUGCUGUUGCUGUUUCUUACUUCA
ensembl:lncRNA